rnacentral:rRNA from 1 species
CGACGCAACGCGCAGAACCUUACCUGGUCUUAGACAUCCCGAGAAUCUUCUGGAAACAGUUGAGUGCCUUCAACCGAAGGAGCUUGGAGACAGGUGCUGCAUGGCUGUCGUCAGCUCGUGUCGUGAGAUGUUGGGUUAAGUCCCGCAACGAGCGCAACCCUCGCCUUUAGUUGCCAGCAUUAAGUUGGGCACUCUAGAGGGACUGCCGGUGUCAAACCGGAGGAAGGUGGGGAUGACGUCAAGUCCUCAUGGCCUUUAUGACCAGGGCUACACACGUACUACAAUGGCCGGCACAAAGGGCAGCAAGCCUGCGAAGGUAAGCUAAUCCCGAAAAACCGGUCUCAGUCCGGAUCGCAGUCUGCAACUCGACUGCGUGAAGUUGGAAUCGCUAGUAAUCGUGGAUCAGCAUGCCACGGUGAAUACGUUCCCGGGCCUU